AUCACUGAGGCAAUUGGACCUCAUAUAUAUGUGAUAU
rnacentral:guide_RNA from 1 species